rnacentral:pre_miRNA from 1 species
CCAGUACUCCCACCGUCCGGAAUUACUCGUCGCAGAAAUGGAUGUAUGUUAGACAUAUUUUUAGUUCUAGAUACAUCCAUUUCUGUGACAAGUAAUUCAGGGCGGAGGGAGUAGAAG